UGGGGAAUAUUGGACAAUGGGCGAAAGCCUGAUCCAGCAACGCCGCGUGAGGGAUGACGGCCUUCGGGUUGUAAACCUCUUUCAGCAGGGACGAAGCGCAAGUGACGGUACCUGCAGAAGAAGCACCGGCCAACUACGUGCCAGCAGCCGCGGUAAUACGUAGGGUGCGAGCGUUGUCCGGAAUUAUUGGGCGUAAAGGGCUCGUAGGCGGUUUGUCGCGUCGGGAGUGAAAACUCGGGGCUUAACUCCGAGCCUGCUUCCGAUACGGGCAGACUAGAGGUAUGCAGGGGAGAACGGAAUUCCUGGUGUAGCGGUGAAAUGCGCAGAUAUCAGGAGGAACACCGGUGGCGAAGGCGGUUCUCUGGGCAUUACCUGACGCUGAGGAGCGAAAGUGUGGGGAGCGAACAGGAUUAGAUACC
rnacentral:rRNA from 1 species